UCAAUGGUGGGCUGGGUGAGGGCACCGUAAGGUGCGCCGGUAUCCGAUGAGGCCGGUAAGGUCAACUUUGCUCAGUCCACCACCCA
rnacentral:antisense_RNA from 1 species